rnacentral:lncRNA from 1 species
UUGUUACAGCACUACAUCUUUGCCUGACACCAUAUUUAAAAUUUAUCUACCCCUUGACUAGAAUGUCAGCCCCAUGAGGGGAUGGGUUUUGUCUAUUUUGUUCACUGUAGUGUGUCCACCUGUCCUGGCUCGCUUUAGAUUCCGUUGGAUCCCUGAGAAGGAUAAUUAACAGCAGCAACAAUGACUACUGCAGCUGCUGAUCACUGAAGUUGCGAGCACAGGCUCUGAAGUCUGAGUCCCUGUGUUCAAAUCCCAGCUCUGCCAUUUAACCAACAUGCAACUUUGGGCAAAUGACUGCAUCGUUCUAAGGCUCAGUUUCCUCAUCUGUAAAAUGGAGACCGAACAGUACCUAUUUUAUGGGGUCAGAGGAACUUAUGAGUUCAUAUUCUCAGAGGAGUGCCUGGGAGUAAGCCAUCCAUCCCAUAGGGCUUUUAGGAUUAUGGUGUUACCAUGUGCUAAGCGCUGCCAGGCACAUUCUGUCUGGUGUAUGGAAUACCCACAACCACCCUCAGAAACAGAGGUUGGUCACAUCUUACAGAUAAAGGAAACAAGGCUUAGAACAGCUCUCGGCAAGCGAUGGCCCCAGAUCAAAUCUUGGCCAGCCUGUUUCUGUAGGACCCACCAGCUA